rnacentral:rRNA from 1 species
UUUUGUUUGGAGAGUUUGAUCCUGGCUCAGGACGAACGCUGGCGGCGUGCUUAACACAUGCAAGUCGAACGGUGAAGGGACUGGUUUUGCUGGUCCUGGAUGAGUGGCGAACGGGUGAGUAACACGUGAGUAACCUGCCCCCUUCUUCUGGAUAACCGCAUGAAAGUGUGGCUAAUACGGGAUAUUCUGGGUCUGUCGCAUGGUGGGCCUGGGAAAGAUUGCGCCUUUUUUGGUGUUUUUGGUGGG